CACUAUCCCAAUCAAGAUGUAGAACAUUUUCAUUGCCCCAGAAAGUAUACUCAUGUCCCCUUCUGGUUGUGAAGCUUUCAAGACUAAGAGGUCUCUGAAAAUAAAGUAUUUGAGCUAUACAGAUUCUAGCCAAAAGGUGAAGGAUGGGUCCUGGGACAAUCCUAGGCCACCAGCAGCAUGGCCAGAUAUCAGGUAGAAGAAUGUCCAUUUCAUUUAUAAUGAAAUUUUUGGGAGAAGAAACAUAAAUCAUUUACAUCGAGCCUAUAGUAAAUAGAGCCCUAUAUGAGGGGGUGGCAAAGUCCUGGGAUAGGUUAGUCCAUAAAGAGAAGUUUUUGCUAUUUCUCAUUUGGUUGGUUUCAAAAGCAGAAUGAGGUAUAGCCUUGAUGGGUAAUUUUCAGCAUAUAGUCAAGGAAUGUGGAGCAUUUGUUGUUCUUUUGUUGUUGUUGUUGUUGUUGACUUACCUUGAAGCUAUGGGUUGGUGUAGCCUUAUCUUAUCUCUUUCUUCCCUCUAUUAGGUCUGUAACUUAAUUUAGAACAUGUCAGAACUCUUCUCUUAUCAUAGUCCGUAUCACCCAUCCCAGGAAACCACUGCUUGAUUUCUAUUAUUAUAGUUUAGUCAUGUCUUUUCUAGAACUUCACACAAAUGAAACCAUACCAGGAGAUACACUUUUGUGCUGGCUUUUUUUGCUUAACACACUGUUUUUCAGAUAUAUCCACACAUACUGUUGUGUGUAGCAGUAGUUCCUUCCUUUUUAUAUCUAAUAGUUUAUUGAAUGUACCAAAUUUUGUUCAUCCAUUCACUCAUCAUAAACAUUUUGUUUUCUGUUUUUAGUUAUUAUGAAUAAAGCUAUAACAAGCACUCAUGUAUAAGUCUUUGUGUGACUAUAUGCUUUCAUUUCUCUUAGAUAAAUACAUGGAUACAUGGAGUGAAAUUGCUGGCUCAAGUGUAUGUUUGACUUUAUAGGAGUCAGUUGUUUUCCAAAGUGUAUGUACCAUUUUAAAUAUUCACAAGCAGGAUCUGAGAAUUCUAGUUGCUCAGCAUCCUCUGCCAUGCUUGAUAUAUCAUAUUCCUGGGCCUCCUGUAACAAAGCACUACAAACUGGUGGUUCAAAACAACAGAAAUUGAUUGUCUCACAGUUUUGGAGGCCAGAAGUCCAAAAUCAAGGCAAUUUCAGGGCUAUACCCUUUCUCUGAAAACUGUGGGAAUAUCCUUCCUUGCCCUUUCCUAACUUCCUUCUGGUGGUUUGCUGCAGUCAUUGUGUUCAUUGGCUUAUAGCUACAUAACUCCAGUCUUUACCUUCUUUGUCACAUGGUAUUCUCCUU
rnacentral:lncRNA from 1 species